rnacentral:rRNA from 1 species
GAUGAACGCUCGCGGCAGGCCUAAUACAUGCAAGUCGGACGGGAUCCAUUGAUAGCUUGCUCUCAAUGGUGAGAGUGGCGCACGGGUGCGUAACGCGUGAGCAACCUGCCUCCAUCAGGGGGAUAGCCUCUCGAAAGAGAGAUUAACACCGCAUAAUAUCAACAGUUCGCAUGUUCAGUUGAUUAAAUAUUUAUAGGAUGGAGAUGGGCUCGCGUGACAUUAGCUAGUUGGUAGGGUAACGGCUUACCAAGGCGACGAUGUCUAGGGGCUCUGAGAGGAGAAUCCCCCACACUGGUACUGAGACACGGACCAGACUCCUACGGGAGGCAGCAGUAAGGAAUAUUGGUCAAUGGGCGGAAGCCUGAACCAGCCAUGCCGCGUGCAGGAUGACUGCCCUAUGGGUUGUAAACUGCUUUUGUCCAGGAAUAAACCUAAAUACGAGUAUUUAGCUGAAUGUACUGGAAGAAUAAGGAUCGGCUAACUCCGUG